CGGCAGCACAAGGGAGUUUACUCCUGAGGUGGCGAGCGGCGGACGGGUGAGUAAUGCCUAGGGAUCUGCCCAGUCGAGGGGGAUAACAGUUGGAAACGACUGCUAAUACCGCAUACGCCCUACGGGGGAAAGAGGGGGACCUUCGGGCCUCUCGCGAUUGGAUGAACCUAGGUGGGAUUAGCUAGUUGGUGAGGUAAUGGCUCACCAAGGCGACGAUCCCUAGCUGUUCUGAGAGGAUGAUCAGCCACACUGGGACUGAGACACGGCCCAGACUCCUACGGGAGGCAGCAGUGGGGAAUAUUGCACAAUGGGGGAAACCCUGAUGCAGCCAUGCCGCGUGUGUGAAGAAGGCCUUCGGGUUGUAAAGCACUUUCAGUAGGGAGGAAAGGGUGAGUCUUAAUACGGCUCAUCUGUGACGUUACCUACAGAAGAAGGACCGGCUAACUCCGUGCCAGCAGCCGCGGUAAUACGGAGGGUCCGAGCGUUAAUCGGAAUUACUGGGCGUAAAGCGUGCGCAGGCGGUUUGUUAAGCGAGAUGUGAAAGCCCUGGGCUCAACCUAGGAAUAGCAUUUCGAACUGGCGAACUAGAGUCUUGUAGAGGGGGGUAGAAUUCCAGGUGUAGCGGUGAAAUGCGUAGAGAUCUGGAGGAAUACCGGUGGCGAAGGCGGCCCCCUGGACAAAGACUGACGCUC
rnacentral:rRNA from 1 species